CAGAAUCUUUUCUCAGAAACCAAAAUCAAUGGCUUCCUCGUUAAAUUGCUCCUCGUACAAGAAAUACGAAAUCAGAAAGCGAGACCCAAACCCCAAAACCUCUGCUUUAUUAGUAAUCGACAUGCAAAACAAAUUUUCGUCUUUCGCCAAGCCUAUUCUCAGCAACACGAUCACUACCAUCGACCUCUGCCGACGAGCUUCAAUCCCUGUCUUCUUUACUCGCCAUUGCCACAAGUCCCUCGCCGACAGCGGCAUGCUGGGGGAGUGGUGGGACAACGACAUCAUUUUUGACGGCACCGUUGAUUCCGAGUUAAUCCCCGAGAUCGAACGGCUGGCGGAAGCCGACGAGGUGGUGGAAAAAACGACGUACAGUGCGUUUGAGAAGACGCGCCUGAAGGAGAUGUUGGUGGAGAAAGGGGUGGAGGAGGUUAUAAUUACGGGGGUUAUGACGAACCUGUGCUGCGAAACGACGGCGCGUGAUGCGUUUGGGAAAGGGUUUAGGGUGUUUUUUUCAACGGAUGCUACGGCAACGUUGGAUUUGGAGUUGCAGGAGGCUACUUUGAAGAACAUGGCUUUCGGGUUUGCUUACCUCGUCGACUGCAAGAGGCUUCAGCAGGGGUUUUUCCCUGACUAGAUAAAGUAAUUUUGUUUAAGAAAUUGCAUGUUACUAGUAGUAAUCGGUGUCAAUAUUGCUUGUCUUUUUUUUUUUUUUUUUCUUUUGUUUUUUUAUCUAUCAUCAUCUGUAAAUAUAUGUGUUGAGGUUUUGAAUGAUAAUUAUUUGGCUUGGUUUAUUUUCUCAUUUUUCAUUUUUUAGAUAAUAUUGGCAUUAGAGCGCGUUACUCAUAAUUCAAGAGAAACAUUUUUUUUUUCUUUUUAAAAAUAAUCAUACACACGUAAUUAGUGUUUGGCUCAUUUUAUUACAAGAAAAUUAUCUAUGACAAAAGUAAAACUUAGAUGUUUAACUUUCAAAAUUUUAGUUUAGAUGAAAAAAUUAUUUGAAUUUUUAAAUAAACUUAUAAAUUAAAAUUUUUAAAGAUAUUAAUUAUAAUAAUAAAUAUUUAAUGAAAUUUUUUAAUAUUUUCUUUACUCUUUAAUAAUUCACAAAAUUAUUACGAGGAUUAUAUUAUUUCAAAUUACUUUGUUUUUUUUAUUGAAUUCAUUUGUUUUUUAUUAUAAUAAAUAAAAAUAUCUUCUUUUAUUUAUUUUUAUCUAAAAUUUUGAGAUUUAAUUCAAUAAAGUUAGUUAUUUUUUAUUUUUAUUUAUUAAAAACAUAUAAAAAUACUACCAAAUGGUUUUUUCAACAUUAUACAACACAUCUUUAUUGAAUUUGUCAAAUACUACUUUAGAUUCUCUUUUUAACACAGCUUUAUUCCAACAUCCGUUUUUGUAGAAGUUUUAAACCAAACAAUUAUAUUUAGAAUUCAAUUAAAAUUUUGGUAUUUAUUAUAAAAUACUUAAGUUUUAUAUUAAUUUAAUUAAUUUUUUGUUAUAUUAUUUAAUAAUUUAUUUAAUUAUAAUAUUAUUUAAAUAUUAUUAAACUUGAAUAUAAUUAAAUAACAAUAUUACAAUCUAAUAUAAUACUAUUUGAACCUAGAAGUCACCGUGUGUUAAUUUCAUAAAUAAAUUAUUCUCUCAACUUUUGAAAAUUUUUUUUGUUAAUUGAUUGUACAAUUUAAUAAAUUGAUUUGACAUUUCAACUUAAAAAUUAAAACUUGCAUUUCAAAGUGCUCUUUCAAUAAUUAUCGAUUUUUUUGUCUCAUUAUCACAAUUAUCUCGUUCACGAAGAGGAAGUGAAAAUUUUAAUUUAUUAAUCCCUAAAAUGAUGAAAUCUUUUGCUUUUCUAUAUCCAACCAUUUUUUUGUCAAUUUAUUAUCAAUUUUGUAAUUAACCUUUCAAAAGAAUGUCCAAAUCACAAAGCAUUCAAUUCUGACAAUUAUCGGUUUCUUUACCCUAUUAUCACAAUUAAUCUGUUCAUGACAGUGAAAAGUUUAAUUUAUUAAACCUAAAAAUAAUAAAAUCUCUUUCUCUUCCAUAUUUAAUAAUUUUCCUAUCAAUCUAUUAUCCAUUUAAUGAUUAAUGUUGUUGAUAUUCCAAAAGCUUUUGUAAAGAAACCUUAAAAUAUAUUACCCAUUUUUAAUCCUUCAAUUCCCAUCCAAAAUUUGCUUCUUUUAAAAAACACUCACUGAUUUGUAAUUUUUUUAUCAUUUGAUUUAAACUCUUAUGAUUUGUUAAUGAAUAUACUUACUAAUUUACGAUUUCCUUUUACAAAACUCAUCAAUUUAAAAACCUAACUUAUAAAUUCGAAAGGCAUUGAAAGAAUGUGAUCAUGGAUUUGUUGCUUUGUGCUACAAAAUUCUUAAUCCAUUUCAAUUCUUUUUUUUGGUAAAAAAUUUCAAAAUAACAUUGUUUAUUUUAAAUUUAUAAUUGUUUAGAAAAAAAAAAAAGAAUAAAUUCACUAACAAUCAAAUAUUAAUGUAGGUUUAUGGACAAUCCCAUAUAUGACUGGUAAGUUUAUAAUAUGAUAACUCAUUUUUUACUUGCAUUCUUGAUAAAAUUUAUAGAAUCUCUGUAAUCACAAUGCAUUUAGCCACAAUUUGCCUAAGAAAAUAGAUAAAAUAUUAUGACUCUAUGUUAAUUUUUUUAGUAGAAGUUAAAGUUUUAGAUUAAAACUUUGAAACAAAGUUAUUUUUUUUAAUUUUUUACGACAGAUUUUUACAUUUAUUUUUAGAUGUAUGUCAUUACAAUAAAUAUGGUUUCUGUGUUUUUAAUUGUUUUUGUUGUUAAACUGCAACAACAUGCGAGAAAUUACAUAGUUAAAUACUAUUAUUAAAUAAUACUAUAUUAAAUACUAGUUUUUUAAUGUUAUAUAUAUAAUGUCACUUAAAAUUUGAAUUUUAUUUAAUAAAUGCUAUUAUUUUUAUUUAAUUCUUUAAUUUAAUUUUAUUUAUUAAAAUAUUAUAUUUACUACAAUUUAGAUAUAUUUUUUAAAAAUAUAAUAACAUUACUUACCAAACAUAUUUUAUAAAUUAAAAAAUUUUAAAACAAAACAAAAACAAACUUUUGAAAUAAAAAAUUUUAAUAAUUUUAAAAAAUAAAUUAAAAUUUAGUAACUUAGUCUAAAAUUGCCCAAAGUUCGGUAACCAAUUGUGUAAUUUACUCCCCCGCAGGACCCCACUCCAUUUACUUUCUUCCUUCUGUCCCACAGACUAGACAUCUGGUUGCCGUCCUUAUCAUCCAACUUUAUUUUUUGGUUGGAUAUAAUUAUUUCUUAUGAGAAAGAAUAAGGAUAAGAAAACCCUCUUUCAAAAUCUUUUUCUGAGAAACCGAAAUCAAUGGCUUCCUCGUUAACUUACUCCUCAUACAAGAAAUACGAAAUCAGAAAGCGAGACCCAAACCCUAAAACCUCUGCUUUAUUAGUAAUCGACAUGCAAAAUCAAUUUUCGUCUAUCGCCAAGCCUAUACUCAGCAACGUCAUCACUACCAUCGACCUCUGCCGACGGGUUUCAAUCCCUGUUUUCUUCACUCGCCACUGCCACAAGUCCCCCGCCGACUACGCAUGGUGGCGGUGUAGUGGGACAACGACCUCAUCUUUGACGGCACCGCUGAUUCCGAGUUAAUACCCGAGAUCGGACUGUUAGAAAUAUAGUUAAAACAAGAGAAAUAAUAAAAAAAAAAUUUGAUUUUGAGGCAUGAGAAAUAUUAUUUUAAAAGUAAUUAUUUUUUUAAAAUAUAAUAAAUUUUUUAAUUUUUUAAUUAGAAGUAAUAAAAAUAAUUAUAUUGAAAUAUUCAUUUAUAAUAAAUAAAUAGAUAUAAAUUUUUAUUCAGAUAGUUAUAAUUUUUUGUAUUAUUAUAAUUUUUUAAUUAUAUUUUAUUAAUAUUCAAUUAAUUAUGAUAAUUUGUCAUAUGAUAAUUAUUUUUAUUCAAAUAUAAUUAUUUAAAAUAUGAAUAAAAUUAAUACAAAAAUUAAUUUUACUUAUCAAUAAUUAAAUUUUUCUAUUUAAUGUAAGAUGCAUCACAUUUUAAACUAGUAACAAUCUUUCACUAAUUUAAAAUAUUAGUGCUUAAUAUUUAACCUUUCACACGAAUAAAUAUUAUGAAUAUAAGAAGAUAUAUUUUCGAUUUAAACAUUCAAUUAGUGUAUAUAUUUUAGAAUUUUAAUUAAAUUGAUGGUAUCCAUAGAUUAAACCCAACUUUUAAUAUUAUAAUUGAAUAUAUAACACAUAUAAUAUUUAUUUAUUUUUCUAUAAGAGAUUUAUAAUUGCUUUUAGUGUUAUUAUGAUCAUGUGUUUAUUAUAUUCAUAAUUUAUAAGAGAGACUCCAAUCUUUUUUGUUGAAGAGUCAUUACUUCUAUAUUUGCAUAAGUAAAGUUUUAUUAUGUUUCUAUUGUUUUAGAUAUUUAAAACUCUAUUAAAAAUAUAAAACCCAUCUACCUUACGAAAUAGAUCACACUAAUUUUUAAAAUUUAAAUAAAUUUUAUUAGUACUUAAUAAACACAUAAAAAUAACUUAUUUUAUUAAUUAAACUUAGUAUUUAAAGGUUAAUAAUUCAAAAUUGAGUUUUUAUUAUUAAUGUCUAAUAAUAAGAGUUUAAAUUCAUUCUACUUGUGGUACUACUAACCAAUAUCUUGGAAUUUAAUUUUUUUUUAACUAAUCAAUUGGUUCUUAGUGUCUAAAAUUAAUAAUUGAAUUGAUUAAAAUAACUAAUAUUUUUAAAUAAAAUUUUAAAUAUAUUAUAUAUAAUAAAAUAAAUAUUUAUAUUUUUAAAAAUAACAAAAUAUGACUUUGGGGCAAAAUUUUUGGGUGAGUUCUAUUAGGCGAAACUUAUUGCAAAAUUGGUGGUUAAAAAAUGGUGUUUUUGAUACCAAUUGAUCUAUAUCGGUUCAUUAUUUUUUUAUUAUUAGGAAUAGAUUAUUAGUUUCAAUUAUUUUUUAAUUUAAAAAAUAUAUCGAAUCGACAAACUGCUCAUCUUAUAUAUAUGUACACCUCUAAUCAAGAUUACAAUUGUUUCAUUUUUUUUUUCAUUUUCAUAAUUGUUAGAUCAAAUCUUUUAGGUUUUUUUUUUUUUCCAGGCCAAAUCAAAAUUUUUAGGUUAAAGUAGCGCUUACUAUCAAUCAACAAAAAGAAUUAUUGAAAUUUUAAAUCUAUUUAAAAAACAUAUAUUUUUAAAUGGAUAAAAAGUUCAAAAUUCAAUUUUAGCGUGGGGCGGCGUUAUUAUUAAUAUGAAAGAAAAAGAAUUUUUAUUUGCAUUCAUUUUUUAUACAUUUUAAAAAUAAUUUUUAAAUAAAAUUAUUUAAUUUCCUUAUUUUAAAUUACUUUCCACUUUUGAAUUUUUGGAUUUACAAAGUCAGAAAACUUUUAAAAAUUUCUGUCUCGUAUCAUUUAAAUCACAAAAGAAUCUACAGAUCCACAUGCAUAGUUUUUGUUGAUCAAUUUAUAAAUAAGCUAAUAAUUAUUGUAAUCAAAUUUUGCUUUUUCUUUAUAAUAUUGUGAAAAUUUUUAUGAAAUUUUCCCUUUAACUAAUUUUUUCUCAAAACCCUAAAUGUAACUUAUCAAAUGAAAAAAUUUAAUAAAUUAUAUAAAUUAUUAAAUAUUCAUAUUCGAUAAAUUUUAUAACUUAUUGAAUAGUUAUAAAUUUUACUGAAUAUGUAUAUAUAAAGACUUUAAAAUUGAUAUGAAAAAGGAUAAUUAAAUAAUUCAAUUAAAGAUAAUUUUAAAAGGUGGAGUUUUCAUUUGAUUCUUUAUUAUUAUAUAAAUUUUUUAUAUUAUUAGUAAAUUAAUCAUAUCACUUUAUUAAUGAAGUGAAUAUUAAUUAUUAAAAUAAAUAUAUAAAAAAUUAAUUUUUUAUAAAAAUUUUACUCAUUAAUAAAGUAAAAUUAUUUAAUUUAUCUUAUUAAUAAGAUGUAUCAAUUAAUUUAUUGAUAAUAUAUAAAAUUUAUAUAUUAAUAAUAUAUUAAAUAUAAAAAAAUAAAUGUAAAAAAAAAAUGGCAAACAGAAGCAUCUUUAAGAAAAAAAAAGGGAUAGCAAUAAAAACAGUGUAAAUUUUGAUAAAAUUGUAAUAAUUCAUUUUAAACUUUGACUUUUCCAAUUUCCAUAUAUUCGCUAGUGUACAACGAACAUGCUUGCAAUCAAACCUUAGAAAAAAAAAAUUAGAGUAUUGUUACUUACAUUAAUUUCCCAAGAGAAAAAUAGUAAAAUAAAGAAAAGGGCCCCUGGAUCAAGUGAAAAUUACAAGCUGCCACAAAAUAAUUGAACAAGUUUUGAAAGGACAUAGCAGUCGAUAUCUUCGAAUAUGAACGGCCCAGAAGCCAGCCAAUACCGUCCAUAACUCUGCUCCAUUUGCUUCUUCUGUUACACAGAUGUAGACAUCUGAUUGGCCUCUCCUUAGCAUCCAACUUUUUUUCUUUUGGAUAUAUAUAGUUGUUUCCUCUGAAAAGAUAAAGUGAAGAAACCCCAUUUCAAAAUCUUUCUCGGAAACCAAAAUCAAUGGAUUCCUCGUUAAAUUGCUCCUCAUACAAGAAAUACGAAAUCAGAAAGCGAGAACCAAACCCCAAAACCUCUGCUUUAUUAGUAAUCGACAUGCAAAACAAAUUUUCGUCUUACGCCAACCCUAUUCUCAGCAACACGAUUACUACCAUCGACCUCUGCCGACGAGCUUCAAUCCCUGUCUUCUUCGCUCGCCUCUGCCUCAAGUCCCCCGCCGACAGCGGCAUGCUGGGGGAGUGGUGGGACAACGACAUCGUCUUGGACGGCACCGUUGAUUCCG
rnacentral:lncRNA from 1 species